UACCUGCAGCUCAAGUAGUGGCCGCUAUUAUUGGGCCUAAAACGUUCGUAGCCGGUUUGGUAAAUGCCUGGGUAAAUAGUGUAGCUUAACUAUACGAAUUCCGGGUAGACUGCCAAACUUGAGACCGGGAGAGGCUAGAGGUACUCCUGGGGUAGAGGUGAAAUUCUGUAAUCCUGAGGGGACCACCAGUGGCGAAGGCGUCUAGCUAGAACGGGUCUGACGGUGAGGGACGAAGCCCUGGGGCGCAAACCGGAUUAGAUACCCGGGUAGUCCAGGGUGUAAACGCUGCUUGCUUGAUGUUAGUUGGGCUCCGAGCCCAAUUAGUGUCGGAGAGAAGUUGUUAAGCAAGCUGCCUGGGAAGUACGAUCGCAAGAUUGAAACUUAAAGGAAUUGGCGGGGGAGCACAGCAACGGGUGGAGCGUGCGGUUU
rnacentral:rRNA from 1 species